rnacentral:rRNA from 1 species
CCUACGGGGGGCUGCAGUGGGGAAUAUUGGACAAUGGGGGGAACCCUGAUCCAGCCAUGCCGCGUGUGUGAAGAAGGCCCUCGGGUUGUAAAGCACUUUCAGUGAGGAAGAACGCCUGGUGGUUAAUACCCAUCAGGAAAGACAUCACUCACAGAAGAAGCACCGGCUAACUCCGUGCCAGCAGCCGCGGUAAUACGGAGGGUGCGAGCGUUAAUCGGAAUUACUGGGCGUAACGCGCGCGUAGGUGGCUUGAUAAGCCGGUUGUGAAAGCCCCGGGCUCAACCUGGGAACGGCAUCCGGAACUGUCAAGCUAGAGUGCAGGAGAGGAAGGUAGAAUUCCCGGUGUAGCGGUGAAAUGCGUAGAGAUCGGGAGGAAUACCAGUGGCGAAGGCGGCCUUCUGGACUGACACUGACACUGAGGUGCGAAAGCGUGGGUAGCAAACAGGAUUAGAUACCCGAGUAGUC